rnacentral:lncRNA from 1 species
UGUUUAAAAGAGUUAAUUACAAGCUAUAAAAUAGUACUUUUUGAGUAGUAAUCAAUAGAUGAACUCGAAGCUCUAGAGGGUUCAUAACCUGAAAUUCUAGGAUUGCUAGAAUGUCUAAAAGAGUUAGAGAAAAUCAAAUCUCCUCCUCCAUUAAGAUACUGAACAAUCUGUUCUACUUUUUCAUAUCUUUGCUCUAAGUCUGGAACAGCAUUAGCAAAAUGCCAAGUUUCAGGAAAUUCAACCUCAUUCCACAUGAUUCUUUUGGGGAUUAUGAAAUUUGAUUUGUUUAGGACAUCUGAGUGGAAGAGAAUUGUUUCACCCUUAGGACUGGUCCACAGUGCUCUAGAUCCAACGCUUGUGGUCAUACUCUUAUAGGAAAAUCUUGUGAUGAUGGAAACAUGACUGUUUUCUUCCUUGAAUUUAAAUCUAUGGGUCUUAACAUGGAAGACAACUGGAAGUAAAUAGGAUCAUCAUUGAAUGGGUCUUAACAUGAUUGUUUUAACAUGGAAGACAACUGAAUCUAAGAUGUCGGCAUCUCUUAAUCUAACUGUGAAGUUAGGGUAACACUGGAAGUAAAUAGGACCAUCAUUCAAUCCUGCUUGGACAACCCCAACAAUAGAAUCUCAAUAAUCAAGAUGUCUAUUAUCCCUUAAACAUAUGAUAAUUGAGGUAUUUAAACCUAUUAUUGUCAAAGGAUUAGCUGCAACUUGAUCAUACCGAAGUGUAUGAAGUUGUAGUCUUUCUUAUGUCUCUCUAUGGAUUUACUAUCCAAGAGUCUUAUCACUUGAUCUUCCUUUUCUAUGCUUAUGGUAUGUUCAAGAGUCUUGAUGGUGUAAUCUGUAAAGAACUUAAAGGUUCCUUUCUUAUAAAUUUCUUGAUUAGAUACCUUGGGUAACUUCCAAUCAUCUAAAUCAUUUUGGGUCAUAGGAUAAUUGAUCUCUUCACUGUUUACUAUAGCAUCUUGAGAAUUUGUGAAUUUCCUAGACAUGGUUCUGAUAAUCGAACUCAUUUUAAGGUCUUAAUCUAGAGUCUAAUAGUAGAUUGAAAAACCUAGUGAGUAAUCACCCCAACCCUUUUACAGCCCUAAAAAGGCCUAACAUAGGCUAACAAUGGGCUCAACCUGGCAGGGAUCACCUCAAGUAGACUGCUACUUUUCCUAGGAUAUAUUAAAAACUUAAAACAAAACCCUAUGAUUCGUCCCUAGCAGCGGAAGUGGCAAUGGCACCAUCUGAUUCGGGGUUCGAUCCCCGGCAACGGCGCCAUUUGAUUCGUGCCCAAUUGGUGUCUCAGCUGAUUCAUGUCCAGCUGGUGCUCCUUGAUUGAGGGAGUAAUCAACAAAAUUUAUAACCUAUUACACCAUAUACUAGGGUAGCAAAGACAAAGCUACUAUAGUAUAGUGGCUCUAGGAUCGUUCACUGGGAUGGGUUUUCACUUUGCAAAUGAUAUUAAUUCAAAGCUGAAUUGGUGCCUUUUCAUUUCAAGGUUAGCUUUAAAAGAAAACAUAAAGAUGUUUCAAUGAAAAAAAGGUUUGGUUUUAAACUAACCAAAAAUAGUAACUGAUUUUACUUACAAAGAAAGAUGUUUCUUGGAGUUCAGAUCACUAGGCUCAGAUUCCUCAUACAAAAAGGGAGUUCCGGUCACUUGUUUCUUUUCCUCGCAUUAGAGAAUUAACAUAUAGUUAAUUCUCUAACUGGUGUUGUACAGAUGCUUCCCAUUAAUGGGUUCAAACACUAAAUCCCUCUCACUGAUGCACCUUGCAAUGGCUCGUGCCUCUCACCUAGCAUUUGCCAUUCAAGGUGAUCUUUAACCUUGGAUUACCCGUCAAAAGCUCGCAAGAGAUAACUAAUGGAUGUCUCCUUGGAGUCCAAAAGCUUACCAAGUGUUGGCUAUUCUAGAAAAUCCUACCUUGAAGUCACCUCCCAGAGGCUCGCAAGGGGUAAACUAGUGCAUUUCCAUGGUUGGAAAUCACUUGCCUUACCAAGUGUUGGCCCAGGUGAUUUAAAGGCGUUUUAAGUUAACUAAAAAGAUAAAAACCAUUAACCGGUCACACUUUCUCUUCAUUAAAAACUAAAACAACAAAACAUCCAAAUUAUGCAUGUGGAAACUUACCCGGCUUUCCUCACUCCAAGAGACAAAGAGCCUAGCCUCUCAUCUUCUAAGGAAAAAUCCUCAAAGAAUGUUUGGCUAGCAAGAAAAUGAAAAUGAAAAUGAAGGAAAAACAGAGCAAGGCUCUGUAUAUUCUAUAUAUUUAUCUAUCUAUUUCUAUAUUACAUACUUCUCCGAGCGUCUUUUUAUAGUGGAUGCAAGAGAGUUUAUAUAGGAAGGUAAUUUACCCUUCCUUGGACAUUUCCUAGCUAAGGAAUUACAUGAGUGGUUGAAUACAAGGAGAAAAUGGAAAUUUAUACAAAAAUAUCUGAAGAAAAAUAUCCAAAAGAGUCGGUGGCAAAUAUCGGGAAGCACUAAGGACAUUUCGCAGGUGAAAACGAGGUCUGCGAGAUUUCGCAGACACUCAAGAGGGCUGCGAAAUAUUUUCGCAACAACAAGUUAAACUCGCAGGGCUGCGAAAUUGGCUUCCACCUUGAGGUUCUUAGCGUUCCAGCUUGCGGCAUGUAUCGGGUAGCUUCAGGAGGAAAUCCACAACACUGUACAAAAAGGCUGCGAAAUUCUCGCAACAAAAGGCUGAUUUCGCAAUACUUUAGAGUGAUUGACUUGCAGUGGCUAUAACUUCUUCGUUUCAACUCCGAAUCGCGCACCGUUUAAAGCAUUGGAUUCUUGACUUCCUGAGCUUUGAAAUGGUAUAUAGAAUGUAGAAAAUGGACUUCGGGAAGUACUCCAAAAGUGCAAAAGAAGACUGCAGCUAGCUUUCCUCUGUUUUCCUCACUCUGUUUUUCCUCUCUGUUAUUCUUUCCUUGCAUUCCUUUGAACGACUUUGGCAAAGGGCUAUGAAGCUCCAAAGCUUGGUUCUUCAUGAAUUUGUGCUUCUCAUUUCUUUGCCAUGGAUUCCAAGUAGCUCCUCCAUCAUUUGGCAUGCUUGAAUUGAUUCAUAAGCUGAUAAAAACAUGUAAACUUGCCACAAAAUGGUUAAAACCAAUUACUAAGGACCUUAAUGAAUUAAUUGGGUUAAAUGAAUAUGAUUACUACUCAAAGGUGCUUAAAACCAUUAUAAUUAGGUCUACAAAAUAGCACUUUUUGGUAGUAAUCACCCUACUUUCUUUCCCGUGGCUCUGAUACCAUAAACACCCAAGACUAUCACACACGCAUCCAUUAGUUGGGCUUUGAACCCAAUUGCCCAUACAACCACCAAGGGGGAGCUAAUGUGUGUCAAGAGCAUAUCUAGGUACCUAUCAAAGUCCUAGGCAACCCCCGUUAGAGGAAUUAUCGUCACCAGUGGGCGGAGAGCCCCACUUCGCUCCAAUAACCUCUAGGUCAUGGGUGAGAGUUCCCACUGGUGUCACGCCUGAAUUUGGCACGUCAAGUCGAGGGCUUUGAUACCAUAGGCAACUUCCCUUCCCGUGGCUCUGAUAAUGGAACUCUCACCCAUGGGAUAUAUAUAUGUAUAUUAUUAAAAUUCUUAAUAAUAUUUCAAAUUUUAUAUUUGAUAUAUUAAAUUAAAAGAUAAAGAUAAAUAUAAAUGUAUUAAUAUGUUAAAAUUUAUUAAAUGGAAUAGGUAUAACAUUUAAAUAUGAAGAUGAAAAAAAAAUUAUAAUAUUUAAUUUAAUUAUAUAUCUAUAUAUUUUUUAUUUUAAAAAUUAUUAUAAUUUAUAUUAUUUUCAUAUUUAUCAUUAAUAAUUUUACAAAAUAAAUGUAAGUAUAAAUAUUUAUAUUUUUUUAGAUGGAUAAAAAUUUAAAACAAUCAUGUAUAUAAUUUAGAUCUUUGCCUAAUUAGAUAACAAAGGGAUGAGUAGCAAAAUGGUUCACUACACAUUUUAAUAGUAACAAAUCCUAGGUUCAACUCCCUACAAUGCAAAGUUUCCUUUUAAUAAAACCAAACUACCUGUCCCACAUUGGAAACAAAUGGAUUCCAAGUGUGGAAUAAAUACACAGGCCUCCUCAAGCUAACUACAAGUGACGUGUUGGGCUUGCAAGGACGGGCUUGGAAGGAAAGGGAGUGGGCUUUGUGGCUCUUAAAGCCCAAUAGAAUUUUGGUUAACCAAUAGUUAACCGGUUUGCUGGGAAAUGGACAGUCCGUCCAAUUCAAUGGUCUGACCGUUGGUUUAAGCGGUUCAAAGCUGAUUCAGCUGUUGAAUGGUCUCACACUCCAAACCACACUGAAAAUACUACCAGUAGACGGUUGAACUAGUUGGACCAACCAGUCCAACCCGGUUUUCAAAAUAAUGUUCAAACCAAUCAUAGAUCAUUUGAUAUUAAGAAAAUUUAAAAACAAAAUGAUCAAGCAUGUUAAAGAUUAUUGCAACAAGAAAUCAUCAAACAACAAGUCAUCCAAGCAUCCAAUGUAACUCAUCAAAUCUAUAUAUAGGCAUAUCAUAUAUAUUAAGUGUAUCAAUCAGUACAUCAUAUGUCCAACAAGCUAAAAUAUGAAGGAUAGCUUGUGUUAUACAAAGGUAAGCAAUAUGAUCCAAAAAGCAUAUGUCAAAAUGCAAAAUGAUGAUAUAUAAACAUGUAUCCAUCCUAUCCUCCUAAAACCUAAUAUAUCUCCCCCUUUGGCAACAUAAAAAAUGGACAAUGGGGAUCACAACGAAUAGUCAACGUUGUGAAGAAAUAAGAGAAAACACAGAACGCAAGUAGGUCAUCAUCUCCUCAUGCUAAUGCUCCAUGCGAUCAUCAAUAUGAUUGAUCCUCUGCUAUAGAUACUUGAACUGAGAAGUGAAGCCACUCUGAUAUUGAUCCAUCUGAUCCUCCAUAGAGUAGAAGCAGGUGUCAUUUAUCAUUGACAACUCCUCCAUAUGAGUACCAAGUGAUCUAAUUUGGGUCGAUAAGUCCAUCCAAGGAGCAUGGUUAGGAGCAAAAGGUGCCUGAGGUGGUGGUACCUCAAUAGAGGUGGGCUCCGAGUAUGCUGGUCCAAAGAAGAUAGGCUCAGUGUAUAAUGGUUGAGUGAAUGGUCCCUUUGUAAAAGAAGGCUCAAUCAUCAUGACUAAAAAAAGGUAAACUCAAAUUAAACAUCCCCAAUCUGUGAAGGAAUCUUUGUCUAAAGUGGGUGGAUAUUAAACUUGGGCUCACUCUAUUGGUCACUCUGAGGGUCUAGGCCUCCCUAAGGGUUGACCCCACCCUCCAUCUAUUGAAUCUCUACCUUAUCCUCAACUCCAAGGUGUCUUUGUCUCUAUCCCUAUGGCUCUAUAGGUGCCUGUGCCUAUGCCUAUGUCUAUGUCUAUGCCUAUGAUGGUGCUUUAUCUACUUUCCUAAUAUAAGAACCGUCUAAAGCCUUCUAAAAUUCCAUCAUCCCCAUGAACUGAUCAUUAUACAUGUCAUAGAUACUAGGUGCCUCGAAGUCCGUUUCUCUACUCAAAUCUAUGGCGGCCUCCUUAAAUACUAGAAAGAGAAAGCAUCCAUAGGGGAAUACCCUGGUCAUGCUCUCGCAACAAGCGAUCAUAUGCAUCAUCAUAAGGUUUCUUAAAUGAAGUUGUCUCCUUAUAAGGAUCAAAUCCAUUAAGAAAGCCUCAUAGUAGGAAACCUCAUCUUGGUGUCCACACCGUGGUAAGAAAGUGAAGCAUAGCAUAUAAUGGAUUACUCUGCAUAUGACAAUUAAGUUGUGUGUUGACCACUUGCCCAUGCCAUGGACAUAUGGCUAUCCACAAAUCCUAUGAAUAGCCUCCUUAGGCUCAAAUCCCGAAAUAGUAGGCCACACCUUGGACUCAUACAUCUUCAAUCUAAAAGUAUCCUAGAAUCCGGUAAAUAUCAUCCUCAUCAAGCUCAAUCUCAACUCUCUAAAGGUACAUGAAAUCAGACCUCCAACGUGAUACCUUGCCUGGCAUAGAAUGCCCAAACAAAAUUCAGAAAGAUAGGCUCAGACAGUGACACAGUUGGAAGUCAUCCCAUCCUUAUGAGAAAGUCAUGAAAUCUAAAGUAGCUCAGUUGAGUGAUUACUACUCAAAAAGUGCUAUUUUAUAGUUUGUAAUUAACUCUUUUAAACACUUUUGGGUAUUAGUUAUUACAUUUUAACUCAAUUGACAUGUUAAGGACCCUUGCAAUCAUUUCUAAUCAAAUUGUGUUAAGUUUUGGUGUUUUUUAUAGCUUUUUGAUCGCCAAAGCAAUCUAAGAUUAAGGGAGAGCUCUGUAUAAUCCAUGGCAAAGAAAAUGGAAGCUCAUUUACAUAAAGAAUCCAAUCUUUGAAGCUUUUUAGUCCUUUGCCAAAAGCAAAUCAAGAAUGCAAGGAGGAAAAAUAGAGAGAGGAAUCUAACAUGAAGAAAUUCAAGAGAAGAGCAGUUGUAGGACACAUUUCAAGAACUUCCUAGAGUCCAUUUUAUACAUACUAUAUAUCAUUUCGACGCUCGGGAAGUCAGGAGUCCAAUGCUUCAAAUGGUGUGCAAAUCGGAGCUGAAAUGAAGAAAUUAUGGCCAUUGGAAAACAACCACACCAAGUUGAAAGACAAUUUAGCAAGCUGCAAAAUUACAAAUUCAACUUGCGAAAUCAAAGUCAAACUUGCAAAAUUGACACUUUCAACUUGCAAAAUUUUCACAAGUCAUGUUUCAACUUGUGAAAUCCACCUGUGUGAUCCCAGAUAUUUGCGACUGACUCUGUUAGAUUUUUUUCUUCAGAUAUUUGUUGUUUAAAUCCCUAUUUUCUCCUUGUAAUCCACCAAUCAUAGGAUUUCUUAGUUAGGAAGUAAGAAGGAAGGGUGAAUAACCUUUCUAUAUAAUCUAUUGUAAUUUUUCUUUUAAAGAGAUCUCGGGGAGUUUUUUCUCAAAGACGAACUUUUGUAUAGUUUUGAAGAAAGGAAUACGCAGAGCUUUGCUCUGCCUUACCUACUCAUUUUGAUUGUAUUUUUCUCACUAGCCAAACAAACUCUGAGAAUGUUUUCCUAGAGGAUGAGUGGCUAGGCUUUUUGUUUCUUGGAGUGAAGGAAGUUGGGUAAGGUUCCAAAUGCAAAAAUUGAAAGUUUGUUGUUUCAGUUUUUAAUGAAGAGAAAGUGUGACCCGUUAAUGGUUUUUAUCUUUUUGGUUAACUUAAAAUGCCUUAAAGUCACCCGGGCCAACACUUGCUAAGGCAAGU